UGUCUGACUUGGCACCACAGUGCACAGAGAGGACCUGGAUUUAAAGGCUGGUAUAGCACGUGCCCUGCAGGGAGGGGCAGGGAGCAGGCAGCAGGCGUGUGUGUGUGUGUGUGUGUGUGUGUGUAUGGAGAGAAUGUGAGCAAUGGGAGUGGCAGGCAAUGGGCAAAGGUCAAAUAUUAAAACAAAAUUGGCUGAGGAGCUUCGGCAGGACUGACGGUGGUGAGGUGACAGCCAUGAAGAGUCAGCCCGCAGGAGGAAGCAGUGCCCAUCGGGGACGGGACUAAAGAGGCAGAGAGUAGAGAAAGUGAAGUUAGACUCAGCACCCAUCUCUGCGAGCAGAUGCGAGCAGGCCCAAGGUGUCCAUCUGCCGCGGAGAAGAUUAGAAUGUGCUGCUGAAGUAACAAAGAAGAAGGAUAAGGAGACUGAUAACCCACGUCUGUCUACUCCCUCCCACUAUUGACUGAUUAAAGUCAAGGAGAAGAGGUUGAAUGAGUCAGAAGCUCCCCAGGCCUUUCCUGGCUCCUGUUUCUGCCUGGAGCCCUCUGUGGGAGAAGGCGGCGUGGAAGACAACAGUCUGGCUGUAGAAUUUUCACUCUGCUGCAUUAGGAAGGCAGACAGUAAGGAAAAGGUUCGCAGGAAAAGUCUUGAGGCUCUGGCUGCCCUUUUUGAUUUGUGCAUUAAUGCUGUGGAGUUGACAGCCUGCUUGCGAGAGGCUGAAGAGAUGUGUGUUCUGCACAUCUGAAAUUUAUUCCUUUUGCUCUGGAAGAUGGGACACCACAUAACAGCCAUGAAGAAGUAAUUUUGAUCCUGCAAUGAUCUUGGCACCAGUUCCAGAAAGACAUAUGGACAUAAUCUUUGGGACAUUUGUAGAACCUUCCCUUGAGAAGUGUCUUUGCAGGCUUGGGUUCACUUUAAGACCUAUGGCACUCACUUUAGCUUGGGUCUGUUUCUACUUAAGAGAUAAAAAGCUAAAUUGUAUUCCAUUGGAAGAACUAAAAAUAUUAAUGUAAGAGCAAGUCAUCAUUAUGACACAUAUCAAUUUCUCACCUCUGAGGCGGUACACAGAAGCAGGGCCCUGGAUAAUAACCCAGCCAUGAUUAGGAGAAAAGAGGUCUGGUGGAUCUCAGCACACACUGUGAAAAUAUGAGUUUUCACCAUGCUGGGAGCCAGCAUCUUCAGCUAUAAACUCAUAGAGAGGUGACGAACAAAAAUGUCUUCUUAGGAAUGAAAAUGUGCUUAAAUGUUAUUCUGUAACAAGCUAUUCUGAAAAUCUAGGACCCUACAUACCAGGUAUAUUUAAGGUAUAUUUAUUCAUAUAUUAUAUUAAUAUAUUUAUUUCUCACUGGAACAGAUUUCAAUCUAUAUACAUUUUUAUUUUAAAAUAGAUGAGAUAGCAUAAUAAAUCCAGCUAAGUUUCCCCUAAGUUUCUGUGUGGGUUUAGAAAGUAGCCACUUACUCAAUUUAAACUUCAUUUAUGGCCUUCAUUUAAUACUAGUCCUUUUUUUCCUUGAUAAGUCUAAUGCGGUGAUAGAAGAAACUCAGAAAAUAUCAAAGCUCAGCCCUAUGGAAAAUGACCACACCUGCCCCAAAAGUCACCCCUUAAAACUAGCUCCCAGAAGAAUGCCAGUUAAGAGGUCUGCUGGGAGCCAAUUUUUAUUCAUUUACUAGUGUUUUGUGAAUCCCCUUUGAGAAAAUUCUUCGGAGUUGUACUACUGGGAAAAGGAGAAAGAGACAAACUGCAGAGACAGACACUCCCUGGGGUAUGAGGUCUCCUUUGCUCCAUGGUUUUCCCCCAAGGAAACACUCAGAAUCACCUUGCUAAAAAAAAUUGACUUGGCUAAUGGCCAGCUUUAAAGGACAGGUUUUUGGUGGGUUUUUUUGUUUGUUUUGUUUUGUUUCAGUGGUCACUACACUAUCAAGAUCUAAGUAAAUGACUGUUCUAUGAACCUUGGCUGAGAAAAAUGAGUGACCACAAACUCUCCUGUAUUCCUUCUCAUCAUGGUUAUAUGUGAAGUCAGUCUUAUAGAAUCUGAUGAUAGAUCCAGAGACUUAUAGAUCUUAAAAAGUCUCAAGAAGUCACCUGGUCCAGCCUCCUGAUGCUCAAGGUUUGUGAAUAGCAUAUUGCAGGGAUGCUGGGACACCAGCUGGCUAUCAGGACUUCAGAUGAUGUUUGGGAAUGCAUGAACAAAAUCCCCCCCCACCCACAUCUGAGAAAGAAUGGAGGGAUAUGUGUUCAACAUGUCUAUAGCUUUCUUUUUGUGGCUGGAAACAAGACGGCCAAUGGGUCCUUAGUUUUAUCCAAGUAGGACAAACUUGUUUUCUUUGUUCUGGUCCAAACAAAUAAAUCAGGAAAGGGCUCUGAUUGAUCUUACUUUAGUCAGAUAUUUCCUUCCUUCAGGACCCAAGAAACCAUAGCUCUGUGUGUGUGUGUGUGUGCGCGCGCAGGUGCUCAUGUGUGUAUGUACACAAUAACCCUGGCUUGAUGGGUAUGUAACUUGUACAGUGCCAUAGGGACUUUUGCCUAGAAAGAUCUCAUGCUUGGCUAAAAGUUUUGCUAUUGCCACCUAGAAAUCCUCAGUAAUAUUUAGACAGUGGAUUCUGAAUUUUAAUUUUGCACUGGACCCCAUCAAUUAUGUAGCCAACUAUAGCAUGGAGUCCUGGCUCAACUUGUAAAUACUGAACCAGGUCACAGGGAUGGUAUGGGUGAAGAGGAAACAAUUCCUAGGAUCAGUGGGUAGAUGGUGGCCCGUACAGCUAGCACAGUUCCAAGAACUGAAAGGACAUGAAACAUGAAAGACAAGGUCCUUGCCCUCAAAAAUCUCAGUCUAGUAAGACAGAUUCUCUUUUUGAAAAGUUGUUUCUGCAAUAUCCACAUAGCCAAAUGAAUAUAUUUAUCUUGAGUGCUAAUGGGAACAUCUAAAUGCUGUAGGAAAGUGGAGGCGUCUCAAGAAAUUAAAAUAGAACUACCAUAUGAUCCAGUAAUUCCACUUCUGGGUACAUAGCCAAAGGAAACAAAAUUGCUAUCUUGAAAAGAUAUCUGUUCUAUGUCUAUUGCAGCACACAAUAGCCAAUGUAUAGAAACAACCUAAGCAUGUAUGUGUGUAUACACACACACACAAACACACAUACACACACACAUAUAUAUAGAGAGAGUUUAUAUAUGAAUAAUACUAGAUGGAAUAUUAUUACUUUUUAAAAAGAAAAUCCUGUCAUUUGUGACCAUAUGGGUGAAACUGAAGGAUAGAGAAAGACAAAUACUGCACAGUAUCACUUAUAUGUGGAAUCUUAAAAAAAAAAAAAAAAAAGGUUGAACUCAGAAACAAAGAGUAAAGAGGUGGUUGUCAAGGUCAUUGGGGGUGGAGGAAAUAGAAGAAGUAGGAAAAAGGGUACAAACUUUCAGUUGUAAGAUGAAUAAAGUCUGAGGAUCUAAUGUAUAGCCUGGAAACUCUAGUUGACAACACUGUUCUGUGUAAUCAAAAUCUGCUAAGAGUGUAGAACUUAAAUGUUCUCACCCCUCCCAAAAAAAGGUAAAUAUGUGAGAUGAUACACAUGUUAAUGAACUCAGUUAUGAGAAUUCCUUCACAAUGUAUCUGUAUACCACAUCAUCGUUUGUGCGUGUGUGUUUGUGUGUAUGUGUGUGCUCAGUCAAUGGCACCCCACUCCAGUACUCUUGCCUGGAAAAUCCCAUGGACGGAGGAGUCUGGUAGGCUGCA